UGUGUCACCGGUAUAAACUGCCUUGAUCGAUACUGCCUUAACACCAUCAGUGGAGCGUAUCCAAUGGCUCCCCAUAUUCCAGCCAGAGGGACCCAGUCAAAAUCACCGCACCUAUAUAAGAUCUCGUCAGGAAUCAACCACGGAGCCCUCCAUUCAAUGUCUUCGGCCCGUAAAUUUUGGAGAAUAGUUAUCCACCUCUCUUCGGAGAUGUUGUCCCGCCUCGAUGUGGCCACUAAUUCUCUUAAUGGGGAAUAAUCCUUAGAGAAUACCCGAUAGGAGACCUUCUCCACCUUCCAAAAAUGACUGUGGAACCAAGCCAAAAGAAGCUGUGCGCAACCAAUAAAUCUUCCCUCGCCCGCUCU
rnacentral:lncRNA from 1 species